GGGUCGGUGGCAGAGCGGUCAAUUGCACUAGACUGUAAAUCUAGCGCCCAUGCGGCUACGCAGGUUCGAAUCCUGCCCGGCCCA
rfam:Candidatus Ryanbacteria bacterium RIFCSPHIGHO2_01_FTLL_45_22 rifcsphigho2_01_scaffold_2430, whole genome shotgun sequence.